rnacentral:rRNA from 1 species
AAAAAAGGUAAGCUACUAAGAGCGAAUGGUGGAUGCCUUGACUGGUAAAGGCGAUGAAGGACGUACUAGACUGCGAUAAGCUACGGGGAGCUGUCAAGAAGCUUUGAUCCGUAGAUUUCCGAAUGGGGCAACCCAAUGUAUAGAGAUAUACAUUACCUAUAUAGGAGCGAACGAGGGGAAUUGAAACAUCUUAGUACCCUCAGGAAAAGAAAUCAAUAGAGAUUGCGUCAGUAGCGGCGAGCGAAAGCGUAAGAGGGCAAACCCAGUGCUUGCACUGGGGGUUGUAGGACUGCAAUGUGCAAGAGGUGAGUUUAGCAGAACAUUCUGGAAAGUAUAGCCAUAGAGGGUGAUAGUCCCGUAUGCGAAAAACAAACCUUAGCUAGCAGUAUCCUGAGUAGGGCGGGACACGAGAAAUCCUGUCUGAAGCUGGGUCGACCACGAUCCAACCCUAAAUACUAAUACCAGAUCGAUAGUGCACAAGUACCGUGAGGGAAAGGUGAAAAGAACUGAGGUGAUCAGAGUGAAAUAGAACCUGAAACCAUUUGCUUACAAUCAUUCAGAGCACUAUGUAGCAAUACAGUGUGAUGGACUGCCUUUUGCAUAAUGAGCCUGCGAGUUGUGGUGUCUGGCAAGGUUAAGCAAACGCGAAGCCGUAGCGAAAGCGAGUCUGAAUAGGGCGCUUAGUCAGAUGCUGCAGACCCGAAACGAAGUGAUCUAUCCAUGAGCAAGUUGAAGCUAGUGUAAGAACUAGUGGAGGACUGAACCCAUAGGCGUUGAAAAGCCCCGGGAUGACUUGUGGAUAGGGGUGAAAGGCCAAUCAAACUUCGUGAUAGCUGGUUCUCUCCGAAAUAUAUUUAGGUAUAGCGUUGUGUCGUAAUAUAAGGGGGUAGAGCACUGAAUGGGCUAGGGCAUACACCAAUGUACCAAACCCUAUCAAACUCCGAAUACCUUAUAUGUAAUCACAGCAGUCAGGCGGCGAGUGAUAAAAUCCGUCGUCAAGAGGGAAACAACCCAGACUACCAGCUAAGGUCCCUAAAUCUUACUUAAGUGGAAAACGAUGUGAAGUUACUUAAACAACCAGGAGGUUGGCUUAGAAGCAGCCAUCCUUUAAAGAAAGCGUAAUAGCUCACUGGUCUAGUGAUUUUGCGCGGAAAAUAUAACGGGGCUAAAGUAAGUACCGAAGCUGUAGACUUGAUUUUAUCAAGUGGUAGGAGAGCGUUCUAUUUGCGUCGAAGGUAUACCGGUAAGGAGUGCUGGAGCGAAUAGAAGUGAGCAUGCAGGCAUGAGUAGCGAUAAUUAAUGUGAGAAUCAUUAACGCCGUAAACCCAAGGUUUCCUACGCGAUGCUCGUCAUCGUAGGGUUAGUCGGGUCCUAAGUCGAGUCCGAAAGGGGUAGACGAUGGCAAAUUGGUUAAUAUUCCAAUACCAACAUUAGUGUGCGAUGGAAGGACGCUUAGGGCUAAGGGGGCUAGCGGAUGGAAGUGCUAGUCUAAGGUCGUAGGAGGUUAUACAGGCAAAUCCGUAUAACAAUACUCCGAGAACUGAAAGGCUUUUUGAAGUCUUCGGAUGGAUAGAAGAACCCCUGAUGCCGUCGAGCCAAGAAAAGUUUCUAAGUUUAGCUAAUGUUGCCCGUACCGUAAACCGACACAGGUGGGUGGGAUGAGUAUUCUAAGGCGCGUGGAAGAACUCUCUUUAAGGAACUCUGCAAAAUAGCACCGUAUCUUCGGUAUAAGGUGUGGUUCGCUUCGUAUUAGGAUUUACUCCGAAAGCGAAGAAACUUACAACAAAGAGUCCCUCCCGACUGUUUACCAAAAACACAGCACUCUGCUAACUCGUAAGAGGAUGUAUAGGGUGUGACGCCUGCCCGGUGCUCGAAGGUUAAUUGAUGGGGUUAGCAUUAGCGAAGCUCUUGAUCGAAGCCCGAGUAAACGGCGGCCGUAACUAUAACGGUCCUAAGGUAGCGAAAUUCCUUGUCGGUUAAAUACCGACCUGCAUGAAUGGCGUAACGAGAUGGGAGCUGUCUCAAAGAGGGAUCCAGUGAAAUUGUAGUGGAGGUGAAAAUUCCUCCUACCCGCGGCAAGACGGAAAGACCCCGUGGACCUUUACUACAGCUUGACACUGCUAUUUGGAUAAGAAUGUGCAGGAUAGGUGGGAGGCUUUGAGUAUAUGACGCCAGUUGUAUAUGAGCCAUUGUUGAGAUACCACUCUUUCUUAUUUGGGUAGCUAACCAGCUUGAGUUAUCCUCAAGUGGGACAAUGUCUGGUGGGUAGUUUGACUGGGGCGGUCGCCUCCCAAAUAAUAACGGAGGCUUACAAAGGUUGGCUCAGAACGGUUGGAAAUCGUUCGUAGAGUAUAAAGGUAUAAGCCAGCUUAACUGCAAGACAUACAAGUCAAGCAGAGACGAAAGUCGGUCUUAGUGAUCCGGUGGUUCUGUGUGGAAGGGCCAUCGCUCAAAGGAUAAAAGGUACCCCGGGGAUAACAGGCUGAUCUCCCCCAAGAGCUCACAUCGACGGGGAGGUUUGGCACCUCGAUGUCGGCUCAUCGCAUCCUGGGGCUGGAGCAGGUCCCAAGGGUAUGGCUGUUCGCCAUUUAAAGCGGUACGCGAGCUGGGUUCAGAACGUCGUGAGACAGUUCGGUCCCUAUCUGCCGUGGGCGUAAGAAGAUUGAAGAGAUUUGACCCUAGUACGAGAGGACCGGGUUGAACAAACCACUGGUGUAGCUGUUGUUCUGCCAAGAGCAUCGCAGCGUAGCUAAGUUUGGAAAGGAUAAACGCUGAAAGCAUCUAAGCGUGAAGCCAACUCUAAGAUGAAUCUUCUCUAAGCUCUCUAGAAGACUACUAGUUUGAUAGGCUGGGUGUGUAAUGGAUGAAAGUCCUUUAGCUGACCAGUACUAAUAGAGCGUUUGGCUUAUCUUUAAUAAAGCAU